rnacentral:rRNA from 1 species
GAUGAACGCUGACAGAAUGCUUAACACAUGCAAGUCUUUGGCGAAGCUGUGCUUGCACAGCCUAGCCAAGGCGGACGGGUGAGUAACGCGUAAGGAACUUGCCCUGCAGUCAGGGAUAACAGACGGAAACGACUGAUAAGACCUGGUAAAGUCAGGCGGACUCAUGUCCAGCCUGAUGAAAAGAGAUGCUGCAGGAGAGCCUUGCGUCCUAUUAGCUUGUUGGUGGGGUAACGGCCCACCAAGGCGAUGAUAGGUAGCCGGCCUGAGAGGGUGGACGGCCACAAGGGGACUGAGAUACGGCCCUUACUCCUACGGGAGGCAGCAGUGGGGAAUAUUGGACAAUGGGGGCAAUCCUGAUCCAGCAAUUCUGUGUGCACGAUGAAGGUUUUCGGAUUGUAAAGUGCUUUCAGCAGGGAAGAAAAAAAUGACGGUACCUGCAGAAGAAGCGACGGCUAAAUACGUG